UAUCAUCAGAUCAUCUCUACUCAUUUUGUCUCUGAUGUCCUCUCUCUCUCUCUCUCAAUAUAUAUAUGUACACAUAAACAAACCAGCUUCUUCUUCUUCUUCUUCUAUAUAUAUAUAUAUAUAAAUAUAUAUAUAUGUGGUAGCUCUAUUUAUAUUCUAUGCUCAGAUCCAACCUUUGAACACAGCUGCUUAUAUUUAACAGUUCCUUCCUCCUUGAUGAAGAUCACAAGAACCCAUCAACAUCCCUUCAUUAAUUCCAUACUAAUAUCUUUGCCUUUCCAAUAGGAAACUCAUCA
rnacentral:lncRNA from 1 species